UACGGAGGGUGCAAGCGUUAUCCGGAUUUACUGGGUUUAAAGGGUGUGUAGGCGGACUAUUAAGUCCGUGGUGAAAUCUCCGGGCUCAACCCGGAAACUGCCAUUGAUACUAUCUGUCUUGAAUAUCGUGGAGGUAAGCGGAAUAUGUCAUGUAGCGGUGAAAUGCUUAGAUAUGACAUAGAACACCAAUUGCGAAGGCAGCUUACUACCCGAAUAUUGACACUGAGGCACGAAAGCGUGGGGAUCAAACAGG
rnacentral:rRNA from 1 species